rnacentral:misc_RNA from 1 species
GAUGAAGAACGUAGCGAAAUGCGAUAAGUAAUGUUAAUUGCAGAAUUCAGUGAAUCAUCGAAUCUUUGAACGCACCUUGCGCUCUUUUGUAUUCCGAAGAGCAUGCCUGUUUGAGUGUCAUGAAAAUAUCAACCUUGACUUGGGUUUUGUGCUCUAGUCUCGGCUUGGAAUUGGGUGCUUGCCGCUUUUACGAGCGGCUCACCUUAAAUGUAUUAGCUGGAUCUGUCUUUGAGACUUGGUUUGACUUGGCGUAAUAAGUAUUUCGCUAAGGACAUUCUUCGGAGUGGCCUCGUUUCUAGGACGCUUGUCCGCUUUCCAAUACAAGUUCCACCUCGUGGACAUGACUUUUUAUUAUCUGGCCUCAAAUCAGGUAGGACUACCCGCUGAACUUAAGCAUAUCAAUAAGCGGAGGA